CGGGGCGUAGCUUAGCUUGGUAGAGCGCACGGUUCGGGACCGUGAGGUCGGCGGUUCAAAUCCGCCCGCCCCGACCA
rnacentral:tRNA from 1 species